rnacentral:ncRNA from 1 species
UUCCCGAACCGGGACGCGGAUAUUGCCGUUCACGGCAAAUGCGGUAACGCAAACGAACCCGAAGACGCUUGCGGGGGCCCUGGGAAGAGUUCUCUUUUCUUUUUAACGAGCUUCCACCCUGAAAUCAGCUUGCCUGGAGAUAGGGUUUAAUGCUCGGUAAAGCACCACACUUCUUGUGGUGUCCGGUGCGCUCUCGACGGCCCUUGAAAAUUCGGGGAAGACAUUGAUUUUCGUGUCCGGUCGUACUCAUAACAUG